AAGAUCUUAAGUUAAUAAAACUAAUAGCCUUCAAAGCUUUAAUUGGACUUCAAUCCAGAUCUUG
rnacentral:tRNA from 1 species